rnacentral:hammerhead_ribozyme from 1 species
AUCCAGCUGACCAGUCCUAAAUAGGACGAAACAUGCGUCCUGGAU